rnacentral:rRNA from 1 species
UACGUAGGCAGCGAGCGUUGUUCGGAAUUACUGGGCGUAAAGAGUGUGUAGGCGGUGUUCCCAGUCUGUUGUGAAAUCUCCCGGCUUAACUGGGAGGGUGCAGCGGAAACUAGAAUGCUAGAGGGUGGGAGAGGUAAGCGGAAUUCCUGGUGUAGCGGUGAAAUGCGUAGAUAUCAGGAGGAACACCGGUGGCGAAGGCGGUUCUCUGGGAAUGACCUGACGCUGAGGAGCGAAAGUGUGGGGAGCGAACAGG